rnacentral:tRNA from 1 species
GCCGAAAUAGCUCAGUUGGUAGAGCAACACUUUCGUAAAGUGGAGGUCUCGGGUUCGACUCCCGAUUUCGGCUCCA